GACGAGGGGUCCUAGCGUUGCUCGGAAUCAUUGGGCGUAAAGCGGGUGUAGGUGGUUAACUAAGUCAGGAGUGAAAGCCCUGGGCUCAACCCGGGAAGUGCUUUUGAAACUGGUUAACUUGAGUGUGGGAGAGGAUAGUAGAAUUCCUGGUGUAGUGGUGAAAUACGUAGAUAUCAGGAGGAAUUCCAGUGGGGAAGCCGGCUAUCUGGCCCAACACUGACACUCAGACCCGAAAGCGUGGGGAUCAAACAGG
rnacentral:rRNA from 1 species